AUCGAACGCUGGCGGCAUGCCUUACACAUGCAAGUCGAACGGCAGCACGGGUGCUUGCACCUGGUGGCGAGUGGCGAACGGGUGAGUAACACGUGAGAAUUUGCCUUUAGGAGGGGGAUAACAAUUGGAAACGAAUGCUAAUACCCCAUAUGCUUUUGAGUGAAAUGGAUUUUAUCCGCCUAGAGAGAAGCUCGCGGCUGAUUAGCUUGUUGGUAAGGUAAGAGCUUACCAAGGCGACGAUCAGUAUCUGGUUUGAGAGGACGAUCAGACACACUGGAACUGAGACACGGUCCAGACUCCUACGGGAGGCAGCAGUGGGGAAUUUUCCGCAAUGGGCGAAAGCCUGACGGAGCAAUACCGCGUGAGGGAAGAAUGCCUAUGGGUUGUAAACCUCUUUUUUCUAGGGAGGAAUAAAAUGACGUGUACCUGAAGAAUAAGCAUCGGCUAACUCCGUG
rnacentral:rRNA from 1 species